CCUACGGGAGGCAGCAGUAAGGAAUAUUGGUCAAUGGGCGCAAGCCUGAACCAGCCAUGCCGCGUGCAGGAUGACGGCCCUCUGGGUUGUAAACUGCUUUUAUACGGGAAGAACAGCAUCUACGUGUAGGUGUUUGACGGUACUGUAAGAAUAAGGACCGGCUAACUUCGUGCCAGCAGCCGCGGUAAUACGAAGGGUCCAAGCGUUAUCCGGAUUUAUUGGGUUUAAAGGGUGCGUAGGCGGCUUUUUAAGUCAGUGGUGAAAGCCUGAUGCUCAACAUCAGAACUGCCAUUGAUACUGAAGAGCUUGAGUACAGUUGAGGUUGGCGGAAUGUGUCAUGUAGCGGUGAAAUGCUUAGAUAUGACACAGAACACCGAUUGCGAAGGCAGCUAGCUAAGCUGUUACUGACGCUGAUGCACGAAAGCGUGGGGAGCAAACAGGAUUAGAUACCCUGGUAGUCCACGCCCUAAACGUUGAUAACCCGUUGUUAGCGAUAUACUGUUAGCGACCAAGCGAAAGCAUUAAGUUAUCCACCGUGGGAAGUACGGUUGCAAGAUUGAAACCUUNAAGAGUAGUUACGGACGNGNGAGAGCGACGACGACGACGACGGAGGAGGAGG
rnacentral:rRNA from 1 species